GGAUGAACGCUAGCGGCAAGGCUUAAACACAUGCAAGUCGAGGGGUAUGGUUUCGGACCAAGAGACCGGCGCACGGGUGCGUAACGCGUAUGCAAUCUACCUUUGCAGAGGGAUAGCCCAGAGAAAUUUGGAUUAAUACCUUAUAGUAAUACGACUUGGCAUCAAGAUGUAUUUAAAGAUUUAUCGGUGAAAGAUGAGCAUGCGUCCCAUUAGCUUGUUGGUAAGGUAACGGCUUACCAAGGCAACGAUGGGUAGGGGUCCUGAGAGGGAGAUCCCCCCACACUGGUACUGAGACACGGACCAGACUCCUACGGGAGGCAGCAGUGAGGAAUAUUGGACAAUGGGCGCAAGCCUGAUCCAGCCAUGCCGCGUGCAGGAUGACGGUCCUAUGGAUUGUAAACUGCUUUUGUACAGGAAGAAACCCUUUCACGUGUGGAAGAUUGACGGUACUGUAAGAAUAAGGAUCGGCUAACUCCGUG
rnacentral:rRNA from 1 species